UCGAGGCGGAAGGCGCGGUGGACAAGGCGAUCGAGGCGCUGAAAGGCAUACUCGAGGAGACGUCGAAGCGCACUUACUCGGCGGCGGAAUCGGCCAACCGGGCGAUGCUGCUGGAGCGGUUGGGCUUGCUCCAUCGCAACGCGGGGCAGACGGCGCAGGCGGUGGAGACGUUCCGCCAGAUUCAGGCGCUCGAUCCGGAAGGCGGCCCGCGGGUGACGGUGCAGAUCAUCGAUGCCUACCGCGCCGCCAGGGAGUUCGACAAGGCGCAGCAGGAGGCGGCGAUCGCCUUGAAGAAGUGGCCGAAGGAGCGGAUGGUGAGGAUGGUGCACGCCUCUCUGCUGGCCGACACCGGCAAGGUGGACGAGGCCGCCGCGGAAGUGCGCGGCCUGCUGGGCGGGGAGCGCGACCGUGAGACCUGGAUCGCGCUGGCGCAGAUUUACGAAAAGGGCAAGCGGCACGCCGAAAUGGGCAAGGCGCUCGACGAAGCGGAAAAGCUGUCGACGGCCAAGGACGACCGCGAGACCGUGAUCUUCAUGCGGGCGGCGAUGUACGAGAAGAUGAAGAAGUUCGAGGCCUCGGAAGCCGAGUUUCGCAAGGUGCUGGAGCUGAACCCGGACAACCCGAGCGCGCUGAACUACCUGGGAUAUAUGCUGGCGGAUCGGAACGUGCGGCUCGACGAGGCGCAAAAGCUGAUCCAGCGGGCGCUCGAGCUGGACCCGGGCAACGGGGCCUACCUGGACAGCCUGGGGUGGGUGUACUACCGCCAGAACAAGCUGGAGGAAGCCGAGGGGCUGCUGGUGCAGGCGCUCGAGAAAGUGGGCAAGGACCCGACGGUGCGGGACCACUUAGGCGACGUGUACUUUAAGCUGGGCAAGACGAAGGAAGCGAUCACGCAGUGGCAGGCAUCGCUGAAGGAGCACGAAUCGGGGGCCAGCAGCGAUAGCGAUCCGGCCGACAAGGUCAAGAUCGCGAAGAAGCUGGAGGGCGCGCGGGUCAAGCAAGCCAGGGAGACCGGCAAGAAGUAGCCCGCCCGGGGGCAAGAUUGGAGAAAGGCGCCGGCGGCGAGUCCAGGGUGGUGGAAAGCACGAGUCAUUCAGGCAAGUUAUUGAUCGUUAUCCAUAUUUGAAUCAGUAGGUUGCGUCGAUUUUCCGGAUUAGAAAACUAUCGUUUCGGCACUCGGAUGUGCCAUACUCGGUGUUGGAACGGUAAUCGAAGUCAGAAUGUCCCAGUUGGACGACGCAGUCAGCCGAUACAACAAACUCCUGGAAAGCGGCGCCUUCCGCGACUUGGGCUGGGUGGAAGCCCUGCACCAGCGCAUGGAGCAGGGCGGUCUCUCGGCCGGCGGCCGCUUGAUCUGCCCCUUCCUGAGGCCGAAUUUCAUCACCCGGCGCCAGUAUGACAAUCUGGUCAAGACGGGCGAAGCGCUGAUAUGCGCGAUCGACCGGAUGGAGCAGAUGGUGCUGGCCAGUCCGGCACUGCUGGCGCGGCUGGAACUGCUGCCGGCGGAGAAGAUGCUGGCGGCGAUCGACCCCGGCUACCAGGCGCUCGAAGUGGCCUCGCGGCUCGAUUCGCACCUGAGCAACGGACACUUGCACUUUGUUCAGUACAACGCCGACUCGCCUUCGGGAGCGGGUUACUCGGACGGGUUGUCGGAUAUCUUCUACGACACGCCGCCGGUGAAGGAAUUCCGCAAGCGGCACUCGCUCAGCAAGAUCGGAGGCAGGAAGCACUUGCUGACGGCGCUGCUGAAGGCUUACAAGCAAUACGGCGGCACGAGCAAGAAGCCGAACAUCGCGAUCGUCGAGUUCCGCCAGGCGUACAGCAGCGGGCAGAGCGAGUACCAGUUGUUCCGCGACUAUUUCCGGCAGGAAGGGUACACGGUAGAGAUCGUCUCGCCGGAGCACCUGGAGUACCGCAACCGCGUGCUGCGGCGCGGCAAUUUCCAGAUCGACCUGGUCUACCGGCGGCUGGGAGUGCAGGAGUUCCUGCUGCGCUUCGACCUGACGCACCCGCUGGUGCAGGCGUAUCGCGACCGGUCGGUGUGCGUGGUCAACAGCUUCCGGUCGGAACUGGCGCAUAAGAAGGCGAUGUUCGGCCUGCUGACCGACGAGGCGCUGACGG
rnacentral:misc_RNA from 1 species